rnacentral:rRNA from 1 species
UUUUGUAUAAUGGGUCAGCGACUUAUAUUCUGUAGCAAGGUUAACCGAAUAGGGGAGCCGAAGGGAAACCGAGUCUUAACUGGGCGUUAAGUUGCAGGGUAUAGACCCGAAACCCGGUGAUCUAGCCAUGGGCAGGUUGAAGGUUGGGUAACACUAACUGGAGGACCGAACCGACUAAUGUUGAAAAAUUAGCGGAUGACUUGUGGCUGGGGGUGAAAGGCCAAUCAAACCGGGAGAUAGCUGGUUCUCCCCGAAAGCUAUUUAGGUAGCGCCUCGUGAAUUCAUCUCCGGGGGUAGAGCACUGUUUCGGCAAGGGGGUCAUCCCGACUUACCAACCCGAUGCAAACUGCGAAUACCGGAGAAUGUUAUCACGGGAGACACACGGCGGGUGCUAACGUCCGUCGUGAAGAGGGAAACAACCCAGACCGCCAGCUAAGGUCCCAAAGUCAUGGUUAAGUGGGAAACGAUGUGGGAAGGCCCAGACAGCCAGGAUGUUGGCUUAGAAGCAGCCAUCAUUUAAAGAAAGCGUAAUAGCUCACUGGUCGAGUCGGCCUGCGCGGAAGAUGUAACGGGGCUAAACCAUGCAC